rnacentral:rRNA from 1 species
UACGGAGGGUGCAAGCGUUAUCCGGAUUCACUGGGUUUAAAGGGUGCGUAGGCGGGUAUGUAAGUCAGGGGUGAAAGCCCGGAGCUCAACUCCGGAACUGCCAUUGAAACUGUUUAGCUUGAGGAUGAGAGAGGUGAGUGGAAUUCCCAGUGUAGAGGUGAAAUUCGUAGAUAUUGGGAAGAACACCGGUGGCGAAGGCGGCUCACUGGCUCAUUACUGACGCUCAGGCGCGAUAGCGUGGGGAUCAAACAGG